rnacentral:lncRNA from 1 species
AGGCACAGAGGAAGCACCGCAGCACCUAGCUCGACUGCAAGGCCGAAAAGAAAUAUUUUAUCCUCUCUUCCCCCUUCCUGUCUUUUUCCUCAUUGAAUCUUUUCUUUUUCCCUCACAUCGACCAAAAUCCUUUAAGCAGGAAAACAUCCUACAAUAACGAAGUUUACAGAUAAGCAAACAAACCUGAGAGUUAAUUCCUAGAAAACUGUCCCAAUAGAAGUGCUUUAUGCUGAAACAAAGGGAUGCCACAUACGGAGUACGAGUACCAGGAGGGGCUCAAAGUACAGCUGGAAGGGAAGAUAUAUUGUUGGCAAAGAUUUUUCUCCCAUUCCAUAUGCCGACUAUUCAAUCUGUUUUUACUUUGCGGUGCAGAAAUCUUUUAAAUUCCCAGAAGAGGACACUGAAUUUCCUGUACUGAAGCUACAGAUGGUUGUGAGCCACCAUGCUGGGAACCAAACCUGGGCCUUCUGGAAGAGCAGCCAGUCCUUGUCACCACAGAGCAUCCUACCAGUCCCUCUUGGAAGUAUUCCCUUUAGCAUCCUUUACACUUAUUGCCCCCAACUAGGACCACUUCAGACGGCACGCUGAAGGUCAAUGCAGAACAUGGAUAACCUUGUCUUCUUCGGUGAAUUUUGUUUUCUCCAAUUCAGAAUUAUUUUGGCUAUUGGUCUGUUUCUUCUGCCCUCAGUUCUGUCUGGACUUUUUUUUUUUUUUUUUACUGCUCCAGUGGAUGGAAGGGGACUUUAUUUGGUCCCGGGGUCACAUGCCAGGUAUGACCCCAGCUUUAUUUGACCUUCUUGGGGCGCAGGUUGUUGGUAUGGUCGCACUUCUUGCGGCAGUUGACUGCAUGAGGGUGCAGGCGUGCGUAGCACUUGCGGCAGAUCAUCUUGUCACAGUUGUACUUCUGGGCAAGCUGACGAAGGGAUGGCUCAAUGAUGCCACCGCGCAGACGCAGCACCAGGUGCAAGGUGGACUCUUUCUGGAUGUUGUAGUCGGACAGGGUGCGGCCAUCCUCCAGCUGUUUGCCCGCGAAUAUCAGCCUCUGCUGGUCAGGUGGGAUGCCUUCCUUGUCUUGGAUCUUGGCCUUGACAUUCUUGAUGGUGUCACUGGGCUCGACCUCAAGAGUGAUGGUCUUGCCCGUCAGGGUCUUCACGAAGAUCUGCACGUUGGCGUCUGCCGCUCGGCCACCUCGUUGAAGAGAAAGAGAAAGCCUGUCUGGACUUUUAUCAUGAGGGAGAAUGUUCCACUUUAUAAAAGGCCUUUCUGCCGUCA